rnacentral:rRNA from 1 species
CCUACGGGAGGCAGCAGUGGGGAAUUUUGGACAAUGGGCGAAAGCCUGAUCCAGCAAUGCCGCGUGAGUGAAGAAGGCCUUCGGGUUGUAAAGCUCUUUUGUCAGGGAAGAAACGGUGGGAGCUAAUAUCUCCUGCUAAUGACGGUACCUGAAGAAUAAGCACCGGCUAACUACGUGCCAGCAGCCGCGGUAAUACGUAGGGUGCAAGCGUUAAUCGGAAUUACUGGGCGUAAAGCGUGCGCAGGCGGUUUUGUAAGUCUGAUGUGAAAUCCCCGGGCUCAACCUGGGAAUUGCAUUGGAGACUGCAAGGCUAGAAUCUGGCAGAGGGGGGUAGAAUUCCACGUGUAGCAGUGAAAUGCGUAGAUAUGUGGAGGAACACCGAUGGCGAAGGCAGCCCCCUGGGUCAAGAUUGACGCUCAUGCACGAAAGCGUGGGGAGCAAACAGGAUUAGAUACCCUGGUAGUCCACGCCCUAAACGAUGUCUACUAGUUGUCGGGUCUUAAUUGACUUGGUAACGCAGCUAAACGCGUGAAAGUAGACCGCCUGGGGAGUACGGUUGCAAAGAUUAAAACUCAAAGGAAUUGACGGCUUGAGAGNGCGAGACGACACGAGGAGAGG